AGACUUUCACUUCUUAACUUUGAUCGUGUUAAUUAAUGUAUCGCUUUUCUGUCAGUGCCGAUUCACUUUUUUUGUUUGAUCUUACCUUUGUGAGUUGCUGGUUAAGAAACUAUUCAAAGCUAUUACCUUGUUAGAAAAUACCGGUUUAAGCUCGUAUAUCCGUGUUUAAGAAAGUGGUUUCUAGUUGGUCACUUACUGGACUGGACACCAUGUUCCGAAAACCAGACCAGCAGUAAACCAGCUGGAGGUGGUCCUGUUCGUAGCUGCUUUAUCAGCCUUAUAACAAGAUUAGACCAUCUAGAAACUAUUUAAAAUAUGAUUAUCCUCAUUAGAGGGAUUAUGCUCAUUAAACACAUGUAUUGUGUGUUGUUGAUGAUGGAAAUUGACCAGUGCUGUUGAACUGGCGCCUGCUGGAGACUGCAUCUUCAAAUUGAACUGUGUGUUAAGCGGCGGCCGCAGUAACUUACACUUCAACAGACCCCUCCAGGCUGGCUGACAGACACAGAAGAACUACGAGCAACCCUGAAGAAGCUUCAGGGAAGCAGCCACCAAUCAGCUGUUCCUGCUGUGCAAAUUAUUUGGAAUCUCCUGCCAGUGAUCGUUGCUUGUGGAUAAUGAGGUUGAAGAACUGGAGCAGACAACCAUGGCGAUCUUUAUCACUGGGAAAGAGGAUCCUCUCCAUCCACCUAAAGACAUUAAAAUUGUUGUCGAAGGAAAAGAGGUCCUGAACGAGUUGCCAUCGGUUGCUGGGCUCAUAUAUACACUAAACCUAAAAUAUCCAAAAAGGCUACAGUUCACCUUUGAAUUUGUGCAAAAGGUCCUGAUGGAGCUUGAUGGAAUAAAGAUGACCCCAAAAGUCACUAGACUGACCACCCAGCUGUACAGGGAUUAAUUGUAUAAUUGCAUAAUUGUUACAUUUUAUUGUGUUUUUACAGCCAAGACUUUAGAUCCUUUUAAUAAAAAGGUUGUACUAACAAGGCUGCAUUUUCACUGCAGCAUUUACAAAUGUGGCUGCCCAAGUUCGAUGGCUACCAGGUACAAAGGUUGAAUAAGGCCAAGUCUUAUGAACAACUGAAGAGACUGAUUGCAGUGUUUCAAGUAUUUCUGCUGUCAAUCUUCAUACAUUUGAAGCAAAUGUUCAAUGUUGUGAGUUUAUUGAACAAUAAAUGUGUUCUAAAGGAAAA